rnacentral:rRNA from 1 species
ACACAUGCAAGUCGAGGGGCAGCACAGGUAGCAAUACCGGGUGGCGACCGGCGCACGGGUGAGUAACGCGUAUGCAACUUACCUAUCAGAGGGGGAUAACCCGGCGAAAGUCGGACUAAUACCGCAUGAAGCAGGGGCCCCGCAUGGGGAUAUUUGCUAAAGAUUCAUCGCUGAUAGAUAGGCAUGCGUUCCAUUAGGCAGUUGGCGGGGUAACGGCCCACCAAGCCGACGAUGGAUAGGGGUUCUGAGAGGAAGGUCCCCCACAUUGGUACUGAGACACGGACCAAACUCCUACGGGAGGCAGCAGUGAGGAAUAUUGGUCAAUGGGCGUAAGCCUGAACCAGCCAAGUCGCGUGAGGGAUGAAGGUUCUAUGGAUCGUAAACCUCUUUUAUAAGGGAAUAAAGUGCGGGACGUGUCCCGUUUUGUAUGUACCUUAUGAAUAAGGAUCGGCUAACUCCGUGCCAGCAGCCGCGGUAAUACGGAGGAUCCGAGCGUUAUCCGGAUUUAUUGGGUUUAAAGGGUGCGUAGGCGGCCUUUUAAGUCAGCGGUGAAAGUCUGUGGCUCAACCAUAGAAUUGCCGUUGAAACUGGGGGGCUUGAGUAUGUUUGAGGCAGGCGGAAUGCGUGGUGUAGCGGUGAAAUGCUUAGAUAUCACGCAGAACCCCGAUUGCGAAGGCAGCCUGCCAAGCCAUGACUGACGCUGAUGCACGAAAGCGUGGGGAUCAAACAGGAUUAGAUACCCUGGUAGUCCACGCAGUAAACGAUGAUCACUAGCUGUUUGCGAUACAUUGUAAGCGGCACAGCGAAAGCGUUAAGUGAUCCACCUGGGGAGUACGCCGGCA